ACGGACAGACAGUACAGUUGCAUGCUACUUUAGGAAAUGGCUGAAGACUGCUAGGAGAUGCUCCUUCUCAGGCCUGCAUGAAAAAUAUUGAUUUUGAUUAAAAAGCAUCGACUUAAUGUAUAUUAGUAUGUAAAUGCUGUCUUAAAUAGCUCAGUAGAAGUAAUGAGAAGAUUAUAGUGAUCUAGGUUAGCAGUCGUACUCUGAAGAGGAAAGAAGUAUUUUGAAUCUAGGAAAGUGUUCUGAAGUAAGUCAAGUCCUAUUCAGAAUAGAUUUCUUGACUAUAACCUAUUGCUUUAUGUGUCUAACUUUGCACAUGACUGUGUGGUAUUCUACUAUAUGUAUAAUAAGCCUUUUAAAGACUUUAUGUAUGUAAUUAUAACCAGGGUAUAAAAUAUUUAAACAUUUCCUAUUCACUUGUAGCUCAUAUUUAAUAUGCUGUCACAUAAUAAUGCUUAUGAAGUUAUUCUUAAUGUUUAUAAUCAGUGGAGCUUGAAAACAGAUAGUUGAAAUUGAAGUGCAUUUUCAGAACCCUCCUCUAUCAACAUCAUAUCCCUUGUGCUACAUUUCACACAUGUUUGUUUAGAUCCCCUUGCAGAUGACAGCCCUUCAAAAGCUAAAAUUCAGCAUGUGGAUGUGUCACUUAGCAAGGAAUUAAAAACAGAUUGUAAAUGUAAGGAUGGGGAAAUACCAGACUCUCUUCAAGAUGAAAGAAUGUUCAAAAGUAGCAGGAAAAAAGUCAGAAAGAUGGGGCAAAACCAGAUGAGGUUGAACCAAAUAAGGCUUUUGAAAGCAGCAAAGACAUCAAGACUGAAGAUGGCAGCAAAGGCAACAACUCAGAAAGGGUAGAGACAUAAAAAAUGGAGGUCCUGCAGGUUCUAUUUGUACAUGGUGAUACUUCAGUCUU